ensembl:lncRNA TP53RK-DT TP53RK divergent transcript
CUCCGUACACGUUCGGCAACGCUCAGUAAGUGGCUCUUCCCGACUCCUUGGCUCUCCGGAAAUCUUCGGUGACUCUCGCAGCCGGCUUUGGGGGCCCACCUCUCAGUUGGUCGUCUCUUUCCGGAAAACUUCGGCGCCUCUCGAGAAAAACGUCGGACGCGCUUUGCUCUCUUCAGAAGUCUCUUCCGGGACAGCUGUACCCUCUAGUAGUCUCUUUUUGGAACUCCUCUUCCCCUGACUCCUACAUUCCCCCCAAAAUGUGCUCAUACAAGUCAGAGUCGGAAGGGUCAGACAAUGAACCAUGUUUCCGACAUCCUCUUAAGUGCUAGGAUAACUACCAUUUAGUGCAUUCAGAAGAAAUAAGGUUAAAUGAUGAAAAUCCUUACAGAAAAGAAAAUUGAGACUCAGAGCUGGCAGAGGGGGUGGUAAGAUGGGGUGGGGAGUGGGGGCUGGGGAAUCCGGGAAAGUCUUCCGGAGACAGAACCUAAACUGAAUUGGGAAUAAUUAAACUUUUUCAGUUUCUACCUGUUUCAUUACAAAGCUUAUAAUAACACAGGCUGUAGCAAAUUCUUACAAUACGGAACUUUGCACACGCACACAUAAAUAAAUAAACUACCUAUCCCCCUUGUGA